rnacentral:misc_RNA from 1 species
GAUGAAGAACGUAGUGAAAUGCGAUAAGUAAUGCGAAUUGCAGAAUUUCCGUGAGUCAUCGAAUCUUUGAACGCACAUUGCGCCCACUGGUAUUCCGGUGGGCAUGCCUGUUCGAGCGUCAUUAUCCUCCCUCAAACCCCGGGUUUGGUGUUGGACCCAAGUUGUGUGAACAACUGGUCUCAAAGACAAUGACGGCGUCCGUGGGACCCUCGGUGCAACGAGCUUUUAGGAGCACGCGCCGAGUUGCAAGGACCUUCCGGGCCGGUCUCCUUUACUAUUUUACAAGGUUGACCUCGGAUCAGGUAGGAAUACCCGCUGAACUUAAGCAUAUCAAUAAGCGGAGGA